GGUUGUGUUGGAGAGUUGACAUCUGCACUUUGAAACUGAUGCAGACAGUCAUGUUGAGGAGACAAGCUGAGCAGUGUGCAGACAUAAAGUGCCUUUCGCUUGCAGGAGCCCCAAGAGAUGCUCCCAGCUCAAAGUUCCGGGGAUCUGCUGCCAGUUCUCUUCCUCCUCAGCUAAGCUGGUUGAUUUCUCCGAGGUGCAGGAUGUUCUCAAAUUCUUCCAAAAUAUGUGGGAGUGACAGUUGCCGAGUAACAAGAAGUCGUCACUCUUUUCCUGAAAUGCUCAAUCCCUCACGUUUCUGUUUUGUAGAGUGGGCAGAUGAAGCUGUGAGUUGGGCACCAGUCUAGGACCAGGAUUGCUCAGAUCUCAGCCUUGCCCUUGGGUAAAUCUACUGGGUCAGAGUUCAAAGAGAGGAAGGGAUCUGACUACCUCUGGACUUCAUAAACACCAUCAGGGAUGCAUUUCAUGAUUCACUGAACUGACUCAGUGUCCAAUGUAAUGAGAUUGUGGCAAUGAUGCUGUGGCCAUGGAGAGGCUGCCUAGCAUUUCUUCAAGAGGUGCUCUUCCCCAAGAGCUCUUCCCACAUCACACACCAAGCAGAGUCAUCAUCUAAAGCUGACAGAUCCCACCUCUUCACAGGAAUUAGGAGGAAAAUUCAGCCCUUUUGAUAUCUAUGGGACUGGGCAAGAAGAGCAAAUGAGAUGAUUGGGAAUGGAGAAGCUGCCUUAGGAGGAGACAUGCUGAGCUGGACAAAGAGAAGGAUGAUAGCACGAAGAUUUACAAUAUGAAGAAUGUAGUGGAUAGGGUGAAUGUUAUCUGCUGGCCAGCAAGUGCUGCAGUGCCAGAAUGAGAGGACAUUUGCUGAAAUUUGUAGGGGAUUCAUUCUAACAGACAAACAAAAAUGUUUCUGUACAAAGUGGGGAGUGAGCUUCUGGAACUGGCAGCCUCUGGAGACUGUGGGAACAGCCAGAACGGUCAGGGAUGGCAGAUGGGAACUGUUGAGUCACAGCCUGAGCCACUGAUUGAGCAGCUGGGGAAAGGACCAGGUCAGCCUGGGAGCACAGGUGAAAGCCAUUCAGGUAUGCAAUUGGAAGGGGUGGAGCCUGGCUGCACCUCUCUCAGACCUCAUUUAAGGUCUGACAGCCACUGGGGAAGGAUCUCCCUUGUGGAGUCUGUCCUGCAAGCCAAGAUCUUCAGAGAUGGAAGUCUAAGAUCAGUCAGUGAAUGAAAAGCCUAGCGAUGGAUGCCCAAUGGUCCAGACAAAAGAUUCCCUCUAAGAUCUCUGAUACAACCAUAGUGGUUGCUAGCAGUAUGAGCCACCUUCAAAUUCCAUCCAGGGGCACGUCCUCUUCUUAAUGUCUUGAAAUCUCAUUCUUUGGCCCUUUGGCCCUCUUCCUCCCACGCAGCAGCAAGGAGAAGCACCUUGGACAUAUCCUGGAUGCAAACAGUAUCAGAGUUUGUGGCACGUUGUCAAAGUGAAUGACACAGCAGAAUGACGUGGGAACGGCUCCACGUUCGUGCACUUCAAUAAGCUGGUUAUAAACAAAAGGUUUCCUCCUCUAAUGUUCCCGGUCUUUGCUGCCGCACUGGAGAGGACUGAACUAAUGAAGAUCUAUCUCCUCCUGUGAGCAACAUGAGGAACUGUUCCUUUUAUAUUACACUAAAAAGAACGUAAACCAGAAAAGGCGUUUUUUGCUGGCGAUAGAUCAUGAGAGGCACUAAGGUAUUGCUAUUAGCAGUGGAAAAAUGCUUUUCUCCCACAGCCUUCUUCAGCCCUAUAUCGUAUAGCACUUCAGCAGAGGGUGUUGGGAUGUCUGGAUAGAAAAUGAAACAGAAGAUAAAUUGGUACCUCCACUGGCAUGUGAGUGACUUUGUCUUCCUUGGAUUUGUCUUCUAACUUACAAAAUGAGACCACAGAUAACGACGACUUUACAAACCUGCCCUUCUUCCCCUCUCAGCCCCUCCUGAACAAAUCCCUUGGCUGAAAUGAGCUCAACGUGAAGAUAAAUGUUCUGGCAAUAGUGUGCAGUAUUAUUUUUGGCACUUGAAGAGUCUCAAGCUAGAUAAGGGAAGACUGAAAGGAAGACAGAGCUUUUCUUGUUAUGUGUGGUUUUGUUUUCCAAAUGCAAAGGACCAAAUUCCAAUCAGACAUUUGAACACGCAGUCCUUUCCUUUUCUGGAUUACUGCAGUGAUUUCUGAUUUUUCACCACAUUAGCUGAUUCUGAGGCUUUAUUUCAAACCCAGCACAUUCGGAGCCUGGAUGAAAUCACACAAUAACGGAGCUGAGAGACAAAAGCAUGCAAAGGCAGUGCCAACUCUAUGGCUCCUGCCCAAACAAAGGGCUAAUUUGGCUUCAGACACAGUUUGCUGUAGAAAUGAUAAGAUUAACACCUGAUAUCAGGGGAAACGGCUGAGCUGCCUGUGACCUCCUUCUGCAGAAUGGCACUUCAGCCUCUCUUUUAUUAGCACACCUUAGAGGAGCUGCUUCUUCACACAGAUCCUGCAGAGCCUUUGUGGAAAGCUCGGAGCACUGCUUCUGCAGGUACAUCUGGGGGCAUGUUGAAUAAAACAUGUGCCAUUCGACACUGGGCUGCCGUGGGUAAUGGGAGAGGGCACGCGUUCCUGCAUGGCAGAGGGCCGUGAGGAUGGAGCUGGCCUUUACAAUAGAAGGAUGAAGCAUGGGGACACGCAGGAGUGGCUUUGAUUCCAGCAGAGCCCUGAGCAAAGAACCCUGCUCACCCUGCAUUGAUCUAAAUGCCUGCUGCAUGUAUUGCCUGCAGACAAGGGAAAAUAAAAGCCCCAAACCUUUGCUCUCUGUGUGAGCGUGAGCUUGUUAUAGACACAGCUACCUGGGAAAUCAAAGGGGAAGGAAUUAUCAGAGCAAACUAUGUGUUGCAGAGGUGGAAAUUCCAGUGCUCAGAGAGCCUCAAGCACGGCUUCUGUUCUGCUUUGUCAAGCCUGCAAUUUGAUGCGAGGCACUGAGACUUCUGAGAGCUCCUCAGCAGCCUGUAAGGAGGAACAGGUGCCUGCACUGCUCUUUUAAAUGAAGAUGUUGCCACAUCCCAGCUCUUGUGUUCUUCUGGCACACGAGCGAUCGCUGCACGGAGUGGUCAGAGGCAAUCGUGACAGCCUGUGGGGUAUUGAUUUACUCCAAACAGGCUUUGCAAAGGAGUCUUGCUCCCUUGGUCUUUGCCUUCUCUUCUGUUUGGCAGCCGGCGCAAGGCUGCUUCCCAUCACCAGGGGCGCUGCAGCUUUCCGCAGGGAUGCGAACACAGCUGAGAGCUAUUUCCCUGCCUGGAUGUGGAAGGAUGUAACUUUUCCAAAUAGCAGGGAAGGAACAGCAAGCUCAUAGGCAGAAAUCCAUUAGUAAAGCUGCCUGAGUGCAUUAAAUAAAGCAAACGGAACUUUGCUGUUACACUCAAGUAAAUAGUUUCUCCUUCUCAGUUUUCUCCCUCUGCUCUAUAAAUGCCAUCGCCAGUAUUUAUUUGAGAAGAGCUGGGAUCUAUUUACUUAUUUAUCCAUAUUUAGUUUAAAAGCCCGGGCUCAAAAUUAAACAGCCAUUCAUAAUGUCAUUAUCUGCCCUGCUCUGCGGUCAGGUUCUGUAUGUGGUGUCACAGGACAAAACCUUUGGCAAAGCCCUGGAGGAGCAGCUUAGCUCCUCAUCCAUCUCAUCUGGCAGCACGAUGGGCUUCCAGGCUUGUACUGCUGUGCUGCUUUGUUCUGGCAUCUAUCAUGGCAUGGUAAAUCACUUUCUGAAAUGUUUAUUGGUAAUAGUUGAAUUCUUU